rnacentral:rRNA from 1 species
UGGGGAAUCUUCCGCAAUGGACGAAAGUCUGACGGAGCAACGCCGCGUGUAUGAUGAAGGUCUUCGGAUUGUAAAGUACUGUCAUUGGGGAAGAACGGUUUUCUUGAAAAGAUUGAGAAGACAUGACGGUACCCAAGGAGGAAGCCCCGGCUAACUACGUGCCAGCAGCCGCGGUAAUACGUAGGGGGCAAGCGUUGUCCGGAAUUAUUGGGCGUAAAGGGCGCGUAGGCGGGCCUUUAAGUCCGGUGUGAAAGAUCAGGGCUCAACCCUGAGAGUGCAUCGGAAACUGGAGGCCUUGAGGACAGGAGAGGAAAGUGGAAUUCCACGUGUAGCGGUCAAAUGCGUAGAUAUGUGGAGGAACACCAGUGGCGAAGGCGACUUUCUGGACUGUAACUGACGCUGAGGCGCGAAAGCGUGGGGAGCAAACA